rnacentral:rRNA from 1 species
AAUGAACGUUGGCGGCGUGGAUUAGGCAUGCAAGUCGAACGCUUCAUGUAGCAAUACAUGAGGAGUGGCGUAAGGGAGAGUAAUACAUAGUUAGCUGCCCUCGGGUCUGGGAUAGCGGCGGGAAACUGCCGGUAAUACCAGAUGAUAUCUUCGGAUCAAAGGUGUAAUUUCGCCCGAGGAGGUGACUGUGUCCUAUCAGCUUGUUGGCGGGUAACGCCACAGCUAAGACGGUAGUGGGCGUGAGAGCGUCGCCCCCACUCACGUGGGA